AAAGGGUGUUGGUCGAUUAAG
rnacentral:siRNA from 1 species